GAUGAACGCUGGCGGCGUGCCUAAUACAUGCAAGUCGAGCGAACGGACGAGAAGCUUGCUUCUCUGAUGUUAGCGGCGGACGGGUGAGUAACACGUGGAUAACCUACCUAUAAGACUGGGAUAACUUCGGGAAACCGGAGCUAAUACCGGAUAUAUUUUGAACCGCAUGGUUCAAAAGUGAAAGACGGUCUUGCUGUCACUUAUAGAUGGAUCCGCGCUGCAUUAGCUAGUUGGUAAGGUAACGGCUUACCAAGGCAACGAUGCAUAGCCGACCUGAGAGGGUGAACGGCCACACUGAAACUGAGACAGGGCCCAGCCUCUUGCGGGGGGCACAGUGGGGAAUUCUUCCGGAAUGGGCGAAGGCCGGAUGGGCCAACGCCGGGGGGGUGAAAAAGGUCUUGGAAUCGUAAAACUCUUUUAUGGGGAAGAAAAAUAUUGGAAAGAACCUGUGCACUUCUGAAGGGACCCUAACAGAAAACCCACGGCAAACUCGGUG
rnacentral:rRNA from 1 species